rnacentral:tRNA from 1 species
GGGACUGUAGUUUAAAAAUAACAUUUGAUUUGCAUACAAAAGAUAUUGAACAAUCAAUCUUUCUCG